GAGACCUGGGAGUGGGUUCCAGGCCACAUCCCGAUGUCACCCUAGAUGAGAAGGGUGUCGUGGACUCUGGAGUCGGGGAGACCUGGCUGUAAACCCUGCUCUGCCACUUACGGGCUUGACGGGCUCAGCAAAGUCACGUGACCUUCACGGAUCCUUCAGAAUUGCUGUGAGGAUUAAGGAUGACACAUGUGAUGUGCCUAAAACAAGGGAGAUUCUCGUUACCUGGCGGCUAAUCCUAUUUAAUUAGCUUCAUCUCUCAAAUAAAAUAAGCCCUCUGGGUCGAGUAAAAGGAAAUUCAAUUAGAAUUUGGGCCUUUCCAGUGGCGACAGGUGGCUCCCCUUGACAGAACGUGUGUUCACUGGUCUGUUCUGAGGCCCCCAGAGCUUGGGGUUGCUUCACACAUCUCGUUCUGGCCGGAUCUCGUCACCAGGCCCCAGGCCGGAGGCUGGGCGUCACCAGGAAGGCCACUCCUCACGCUCCGGCCUCUGCUGCCCUUCACCCCACCCCGACAUCCCGUAAGCUGCAGGAUAAAUGCCCGAGGUGCCUGGUGAAGACUUUGAGCACUGGUCCCCGUCCAGGCACUGUCACGGCUGACCAGAGAGCGGGCAGGGGCGCCUUUGACUCCCCAGCUCCCACUGUCCCCCAAGGAAGGCACUGGGUUUGUGGAAAGAUCCUCAGGAAAGAAACCAGUCCAUGGCCGCGGGCCCGAGGGAGGCAGACCGCCAGUUCUAGAAUCUCAGGAGGACACAUUCGUUCGGAUGGACGGAAGGACUUUCUACCGUGAUGACAAGACAUCACAGUCAAGGUCCUGCGAAAGCGAAUCUGUCUGAAGCAACCAGCCACUGACCCCCAGCACCAAGCUCCACCAACAGCCCCGAUGCGCCGUGGACAAACCAGCCACGCAGCGCUCCUCCGAAGACCUCGUUCCCGUCUGGUGUGUCGGCAUCGGGGAGCAGUCCUGCGCCGCGUUCCGACGCGGACCGCCCAGGGCCGAGUGGGGUCGGCGGGCCGGGUGUCAUCUUUCUUUUGCAAAGGAAGAGAUCACUUGCUCAAGGUUGCCUGCCCAGCAAGCAGCAGGCCGGGGAGAGGAACUGGGCCUUCUGGCUCCUUCUACUAAGCCUUGUCCAGAUAAGGAGGGAGUCCACGACGGUGGACACGAUCCUGCGAGAGCCUCUGGAGCCCAGAUUUGUACGGUGGAAGUGUCUGGCACCACUGGUGGGAGCAGAAUUUGGCACAAUUUUUAGGAGUAUAAUUUGGUAAUCUGCAUCAAAAAUUUUAAGAUUUAUUGACUAAUUAUUUUCACUGCUAGAAAUAUACCUUAAAGAGAUAAUCAGGAACGAGCACCUGGUUAAAAACUUAGACAUAGACUUACCCUGUGGGCUCAACAAUUCCACUCCUAGGCUCACGGCCCCCCAAAAUAAAGACAUCCAUACACACACACACACACACACACACACACACACACACUCAAAAUUGCAUGGAGACGUUAAUAGCAGCCUUGUUUAUAAUAGUCCCAAAGCGAAAAGCCAGUAUCCAUCAACUGUGGAAUGGACAAAUAAAAUGUGAUAUAUUCACACAGUGGAA